rnacentral:lncRNA from 1 species
GGUUUGAGGCUCACUUGAUCUAGUUUUAAAUGUUAGCCAUCAGCUCCUAUAUUUGUUUCCCCUUUUCUAAUGAAAUGAAAACAAACAAAAAAACCGAAACAAAACAAGACCAAAAAAAAAAAAAAAAAAAAAAAAAAAAAAACCCUUAAUAGUUGAGCAUCUUUACCUUGUCAUUUAAUUCUGGAUUUCUGAAAAUUUACAGUGUAGCAUAAUCUCCCAACCUGAAGCAGACAUGGUUUCAUUUCAUCAUGGUUUCAUUUAUUCAUUCUACUAGUGGAAGAAUUUUGGGACUUUCAGUGAUUUCACACAUUCAAAGUUUUUAAAACAUAGAUCUUGUUCCCAAUCCAGCCCUUCUACUGAGGCUAAGAACAUGAGCAUCUUUCCCUCCAUCUACCUUCCCAGUGUCUCCUUUAGGAUCUGCUGAUUUCAAAGGCCAUCUGAAUGUUUUCCCAAAUAAAUAGUUGUCUAACU